GAUACAGACUAACACGGCUGCUACUCUGAAACCUGAGAAGACCAGGGAUUUGAAGAUGAAGAAAAGGCUACUUAUACUUCAGCCUGGUAUCCUCAGGGAGCAGCUCCUGUACUUCAAAGACGUACUUAAGAACCAGUUUUCUUCAUGUGUGAACUCUUUCAAAGGGGCAUCAUCAGGACAAAUUCACUCCAAAUUUAAUUUUUCCAAAAACAAAUGAGAAAAACCUAAGGUCAAUAAGAAUUUUUCCCCCCAAAUCAUACGGAAACCGUUUAAAGAAACAACAACAUGUGUCCUGUACUAUUUGCAACCCAAAUAUCCAAGAGAAACUAAAAGUGAAACUGACUAGUACAUUUCCAUUGUCAACUCUAAGCAAAAUGGAAAAAAGUAAAACAGCAUAAACAGAGAAUGGCAUGUUUUUGCCCUUUUAAAAAUUCCUUCAGUUUUAAUAACUGAAGGUAUUAUUGGAACACAAGUAAGGAUUUUUUUUCCCCCAAAUAUGAUUUUUAGCCUUUAAAAGAAGCAUCCCUUGAAAGGAAAACUACAAUAUAAUGAAGACAUUCUGAUUGCUAAGUCUAAUCGCAAGAGCAGUAAAUCACUACAAAUAUUUGUUAACAUCUUAACUUUCUUUUUUAUUACGGUUAAGUCUUGAAAGUCUGAUGCUGUGAAGGUCAGAGCUUCUCAAUAUGCCUCCAUGAAUCCAAAGGUAUUAGGUCAACAACUGAAAGAGCAGACGCAGCUUAGAUCACACAGAAGCUCUGCUGAAAAUGCAUUUUUCAUUAAAACAUGUGGCUAGUUUCCCCAAACAUUGCUAUCAUGGGGAGAAACUCCCAGCAAGCUCAUAUUUUCACCAAGCAGUAAUCCUCCAUUGAUAAGUAAAAAACCACAGCAAUGCAAUUGCUGAGAGAACUGAACUGCUAGAGCAGCAGAACUUUUCAGUGAUUUAUUUCACAGUGAUCUGCUGGCUACAUGGAGCACAUGUGGGGAAUGCAAACUUUUAUUUUUAAAGGACUUAGAAAAAGGUAGAAAUGAGUGUUUCAAAAUGAGUCAGUCGUUCAGUGUUUGCACGGUGAAAACAAAAAAGGAACAGCAAAGAGCUCAGCCUGUGACCUAUUUCUAAUAAAAAAAAUCUCAUAGUAACGAGAAUUAUUAGAAAUGUUUCCUGCUUCAGAGAGAAACAUUUCCUGUUGAAACUGGAAUCAGAUCAAUCUCUAUACUUCAUCCAGCAGGUUAAAUCAUUAGUUACCUGCUAGUACAUCAAGUAAAAUAGGAAUUUUAGGGUCUUAACAAGGAAAGAUGUUCCAGUGGUUAGAGUAUUAGCUUUGGACUAGGGAGACCCGGUUCAAUUCUCUAUUCUGCCACAAGCCUCCUGUGUGAUCUUGGGCAAUUUACUUUCAUCUUUUUAUGGCUAAGUUCCCCAUUUAAAAAAUGGAGAUAACAGUACUUACAACACAUCUGAGAGACAGGGAAGAAUAAACACAUUAAAGAUUGUGGAGCGCUGGUCUGCUAUGGUAAUGAAGGUCAAAAAAGUAUCUUAGAUAGAUAGAAAUCUUUACAACCAGGGCCCAGGAAUUAAUUAAUCCAACAGUUCAACUUAAAUAUCUUUUGUUAGACACAGUCCAAGUGACUAUUGAUUUUGGGUGCCCAACUUGAGAUACUUUAAAAGACCUGAUUUUCAGCAAGUGCUGAACAUCCACUACUUGAAAACAUCAGGCCCCUAUACGGUGUCUCAAGUUGGACACCCAAAAUUACAUCACUUUUGAAAAUUUUGACCCUUGGUUGCAGAGCAAAGUGACCCAGCAACAUAAGCUACUUUUACAGAACCGUAUAAUACAUCAAGAAUGUGUUUACUGAGCCAGGCAGAGGCAAUAGCAUACCUAAAGAGGGUUUAUUUGGGAAUCAACAAAGCACAACAUGUUCAUCUUGUGUUAGACACACAUCAGAGUGGUGAGGGACAGAGCAUGUGUUGAGAAAAAAUAAACCCAAAAUAAGAAUAAAGCCUGUUAACCUAAAUGGUGCCAUUCCUCAAUUAUCAAACUCCCUAAAUGUCUGGAGAGUUUAAAUGAAUUGCAAACUGAAGGGGCAAACACUGUAUUUCACUUUUAGUUACACUAAAAGGGAGCACAGCAAUUCAUGCAUGAAAGGAAUUAUUAUUUAUAGUUAAAACACUGGUAUAUAACUAGUACAUAGAUUCUAUAGCUCAUGGGCUUCCAUAAAAACAAUGACAUUUCUACCUUCACGGAUGUUCAGUUCUUUACAUUUCUUUUUACUUCCACUUCUGGGGAGGCGAUGCAGCCCAAUACUGUGUACAUCACACAGCUACCUUGGGAUGCAACUGGACAUCUCUAACUGUGGCAAUACCUAGCUGCAGCUCAACAGUAGGACAAUCUUCUUGCAAUUGAUUUCUAUUUUGAAGAACCCAAAUGCAGAUGAUGUAACUGUUAAAAUCUCCAUGUUAUUUGCAGCUGUAUCAUGCUUGCCUUAAACUUUCUAAACCCUAGGGCACAACAAAAUAGACAAACAGAAAAGAAUAGUGAGGGAAUACAGAUUAGACAACCCAAUUAAAGAGGAGGGAAAAAAAAGUCUCUCAGAUACAGAUCAUAAGUGAUCCACAAAUUUGUGGCUCCCUGAUUCAAUUAUUGCAAUAAAUAAAGCUACAUGCCCUAAAAACACUCCUCUUAGAACAAAAUGCAGCAGCCCAUCUGCUUAGGAAAGGCCACCACGACCAUAUCACCACUGGUGCUCAGCUCUCAGUGCUGGAUCUCCACUCAACAGACAAUGCAGAUAAAGGUCCCAGUCAUGAUAUUCAAAGCCAUCCAUGAGAUAAACAGAGAGAGUCAGAGAUGGAGGGAAGGGGCACUGCCCACGUGGCAGCUACAUUCCACUGGAAAGAUCAAACUGUCAACCAGGGCCAGUCAGACAUUUUUUAAAAAAAAAUCAACAAUUUAAAUUAAAAUUUUCUUCAAAAUUUCAAAUCUUGACUGAAAAAAUGGGUCAAUGUGUUUGUGAACAAAGGAUCCCAUUUUUCUACCAGUUCUGCUGUUCAUUCCCACAAAAGAUAAAAAUACUACCUCUCCCCACUUUCAGAACAAAACAACACACACACACACAAACUAAUUAAGCUAUUUCUCCAACAGCCUGGAAAAGAAGAGAGUGUGUUGGAGACUGUAAUUCAUAUUUCUAUUUUUACAUACUUGGGAUGAUUUCAGAGACCAUGCUGAUGAUGGCCAGACAAAGUGGAUACAAACUGUAUGAAUAUAAAUCCCAAAACAUAAAAAUACAAAAAAUACCAAUAGGGUAAGUUUCCGAUCUGAGAAUUGGGAUAACAAUAGAAGGACGCAAACAUUAACCAGUCAAAUGUCACAUUGGAACAGUUUACAGAAGCAACUUCUCAACACCAUAAACAACUGGCUCUUGGAACAGCUACUUCUACAGCACUCAAAAGGAGAGGCUACUCUUGACUUAAUCCUAACACACAGAAGUUGGCUCAAGAGCUAACUGUAGGCUUUAGUAUUCCCAUGACAAGCAGUUAGAUUGUACAUUAAUUUCAAUUUACCAAUGUGCAUGAAAAGAACAUUUCUGCUGCUGCUCAGAGUAAUAAAUAUGCUCCCCAUCAAACACACACCUUGUUUAACUUAGGUCAAGCCCCUAUUCUCAUGCUUUCAAAAAACAAAAGCCUAGAUUCUGGAGUACAAUUCUGCUAUGAAGGACUGUGUCUGCCUCUGCCCAUUAUUAACACUCACAUACCUAACUCCAGGAACCAGCUGUUCCUUCUGCUACAAACCCACUGUGACACAUGGCUAGAAAGGGUUAAACAUCCUGUAAAAUAAAUAACCCUCAAAAGACAUGUGGGGAGAUAAUGUUUGUGUUCUUGUGUUUUUACAUAUGUAUGAGUAGGGUUGAUAAUGUAAUCAACAGUGCCUGUCCAUGCUGUAUUCUAAUAAUUCAGAGGUCAAAAGAACAUCCUUGUCAAAAGACAUGAAAUUGUAUAAAAGAUCCUUGGGUCUUGAUUCUAUCAUCUCAAAUCUGCUUAGGCUUCAUCAGGGGAAGUUUGAGUCUCAAGACUGAGGUUCCAGUUAUGCUGGUACACCCCGAGUAUGAUAUUUGGGCAUUGAACUAUAACCUAUGAACUAUUUCUAAAAGAACUCUUUGCAGCUACAAAGCUCACCAUCUCUGCUAUGAAUCUGCACCUAACUGAAUCUGCACAUGAACUGAAUCAUGUCUGUAUGUAUAUUGAUCUUUUAACCAUACUCUCUUUUAUUUUUUAAUAUAUUCUAGUUUAGUUAAUAAGAAUUGGCUGUAGUGUGUAUUUGGGUAACAUUUGGAAUAUUUCAAUAACCUGGGAGAUAAUGUGUCUGAUCCUUUGGGAUUGGUAGAACCUUUUCUUUUAUAUGAUGAAAUAAGAUUUUCAGAAAUCAUCAUUUUUGACUUAUGUACCUGGAUGUAGGCCUGAGGCUCGAUCACUUUAAGGGAACUGUGUUGUUUGGACUUGAGUAACCAGAGAGGUAAUAAAGCAGCUGUUUUAUGCUGGAUUGGUAAA